rnacentral:rRNA from 1 species
GAUGAACGCUGGCGGCGUGCCUAAUACAUGCAAGUCGAGCGAACGGACGAGAAGCUUGCUUCUCUGAUGUUAGCGGCGGACGGGUGAGUAACACGUGGAUAACCUACCUAUAAGACUGGGAUAACUUCGGGAAACCGGAGCUAAUACCGGAUAAUAUUUUGAACCGCAUGGUUCAAAAGUGAAAGACGGUCUUGCUGUCACUUAUAGAUGUAUCCGCGCUGCAUUAGCUAGUUGGUAAGGUAACGGCUUACCAAGGCAACGAUGCAUAGCCGACCUGGGAGGGUGAUCGGCAACACUGGAACUGAGACACGGUCCAGACUCCUACGGGAGGCAGCAGUAGGGAAUCUUCCGCAAUGGGCGAAAGCCUGACGGAGCAACGCCGCGUGAGUGAUGAAGGUCUUCGGAUCGUAAAACUCUGUUAUUAGGGAAGAACAUAUGUGUAAGUAACUGUGCACAUCGUGACGGUACCUAAUCAGAAAGCCACGGCUAACUACGUG